rnacentral:lncRNA from 1 species
UAUUACAUUAGGUUACAGCAACACCUACAGAUUUUGUCAUUUUAGAAGAACUACAAUUUUAAUUUUUAAUAAUUAAAAAAUUUUUUAAAAAUUCAGGAAUAAUGUCUGUCACAGAAAUCUGACAGGAUUAGCCUGGUAUAAUAAUAUUCCAUUCAUAGGAAUCAAUACAGUAAAUCAACAGCAAGAUAUAUCAAUAGCAAAACAUUGCUGAAUGGCUAGAUGUGCAAAUAUAAGUCUCAGAUUACACUUGUUUUUGAAUAUUAGUGUACAUCACAUUAAUGUAUUCAAAUCCAGGUUAUUUAUUUAAUAAUUUACCAAACGUUCUGUGUUAUCUGAGGUAUCUUCAGUCCAUAUUAUUUUGGAUAAUUGAAAGACUACAUAAAUUAAAUUAUUUAUUGAAAGUAAUCUACAAUAGGUAUAGAAUCAUUUGCUCUGCUGCCAUAAGCAUGAAAAAAAAAAUGAAAAAUAAUCAGUGCAAGGCAACUACUAUUUUACAGCAAAAUAUUUUAAGAAUUAAU